GGAGGUGACAUGUGAACCAACACCAUAAUACACAGCCCAUCUUCCUCAAAAGAUCAUUGCUUAGAUGCAGCUAUACAAAUCCCAUUCCCAAUGGCUCCUUUCUGGUGUGGGGACAAAACUUCCAAAGUUUCUGUCUGCAUAUAUCUAUCCA